UGCUGCCGGCGUUUCACGCUCUUCCCAUCCCUCACCUCGCCAGGUGUUUCUGAGAAAACUCGUAAUUUGCAAGCGUGAUUUGCUUCUAAGGUGCUAUUUCUUGCUCAGAUACAUAAUUUUUCCCUAUACGCAGCACUUGCCCUGUACUCCACCGGUGACGCCACACCUUAAGUACUGCGCCCAGUUCUGGGCUCCACAAAGGACACUUGAGGUGCUGGAGCAAGCCCAGAGAAAGAAAACAAAGCCGGUCUAGAACACUACUCCUGUGAGGAGCAGAGAUGGGAGAGAAUUCUGAUGCUGCAGGCCUCUCAGGAGUUAUUUGUGGAGAGCCCAAUUCUCAUUUUGUGUGUAGAAGAAAACCUAAGGGUAUCUGUGGGCUUGCCCUAUGCCACAGCUCUUCAGCUUGUGCACAACUUCGUCUAACAAUAGGAAAACAAAAGUAAAACCUUUGAGCAAAACAUGUUGCCACUCCUCCAACAUUCUCCUGUCCUGCAUCUAACUCAAGGUACCUUCUUCUGGUGUAGUACUGGCUACCAUCUCCAUACCUUGUACAGUAUAAAUCCACAACUUCUGGUGCCAUCUCUGAGUGCAGCAACAGCAAUACUACUUAACCAGUAGAUGAGGGAAGGAAAAAGGGCCUUUAAUGGAACUACAGAAGGUAGGAGGUGUAUGAGACAAAAUUCACACUCCCACCAAAGAGGUAGAGAAAAAGCAGCUGGAAGAGGCACUUACUUCUUCAGGUAUAUACUAUACUCGUCCAGUGUUUUUUUAAUUGAGCUUUCCGUUCUGAUAGUCCUGUCACUUUCUCUGCUUGUCCCUCUUACAUGAAAGGAGGAAUGACCCUGCAGAGUUCCAUUUCCUUCUUUGUCAAAAUAAUUCUGGUUUCGUUGCUCUGUUGCUGCCCCCUACCUCUUCAGAGUCUUGUUUGUCCCUCCCUUCCUUCCUUCUCUCCCUCUUUCUCUCCCUCCUUCCUUCCCUCCUCCUUGAGUUCCAGCACUUUAACCCUUCCCUAGCUGCACUGUCAUGGCAGCAUUCCUCCUCAUUAGUGGGUUAACUACUGUAACCUGUACCUCCCCUGCUACACAAAACGAGGUUAUCAGUAGCCAGCCUGAGAAUGUCCUGCUGUGUUCAAGAUAGAGAAGAGCCUGGAGUUUGAUUUUGUAGUAAAUGGCAGCAGUCACGGACAGCUGGUGCUUGCUGGGAACAGUCUGGUGAGGGAUGGACUGUAAGCUACAUGUCCCAAGGUGGAGACCCCAGAAUAGUGACCAUGCAGGACUGUAUUUUCUUCUGCAGGUUCCUGAUGAAUCUUUGUUCACAGCAUUUUGGCUCUUUGCUUCGGAUCACUUUGCACCCUCUCAGUGCUUCAGUCCUUUCCAUCCAUUUGGUGACUGUUGUCCAACCCUGCCUACCAAAGCCAUUCCAAGGUGAAUGUGGACAGCAGGUGUCAAUAGCAGAGUUUGCAACAUCCUUUGAAAGCAUUCUCUCCACUCAAAUAAUUGACAGCUUGUAUUGCAAUCACCAUUUAAUAUCAUAAAUAUUGGAAACAUUACCCUGUCAACAUAUGUAUGUUAAUAAUUGCAAUAGGAGGUUUAAGCAUACAUGUGGAGAAAGGUGAUGGAAGAACUCAAAAGUAAUAAGCACUUCUAAUUAAAACUGCCCUUAAAAUAUGACCAAGGACUUCUUUGUUGUUGAAAUAGGAAUCUAGAAGCACCUUUCAUUGUGAAAAAGAUAAAGGAAGUUUUAAUUUCAUUUGAAUGAUUACCUAGCUAAAUUGCAGCUGUUAGAAUUGAUAGUGGUAAUGGAGAAGGCAAAAAUGGUAUAGAUGUUGUGAUAAAAAGAGGGCCAAUCCUGCAGGUGUUAUUAGUAGUGCUAUUUACUGUCAUUAAAUUGAGUGGAAUGUGCAUGUUUUACACCACUAAUAUGUUUAUUCUAGCACAGAACAAAAUGUGGCUAUAUGAUGUUAAUUUUAGUUUAUUAGUUUGAUGUCUCUCUAGGCCACAAAAAAAAAAAAACUAGGAACACCUAAAGCUAUAGGAAUUAUUCCCAUCACUUUACUUUGUGUAUUUUUAUAUUCAAGAGAAAGGAUAGCAGCAAGCAAUUGGCAACAAGCUCUUACAAGAACACAUCAACAUGUCUUUGAUUUCCCUAUAAAGUUUACUAAACAGGAAUGUUGGAUGAGCUGAAGAAUGAAAAUGAACAUGAAAUGAAUUAAAAGAAAAAAGAAUGACAAUGAAAACUGUAUAUGGAAGGAAGCAUACCCACACCUGAUUAAAUACUGUGUUAAAAGUUUGUCCCUACAGCUUCUGUGAUUCCUCAUGUUCUUACCAGUGCAGUACAGAUAUUAUCACUUCUAGACAUACUCAGUCUAGUAAUAUUUGUGAAGCCCUGUGCUUCACUGGAUAAUUUUUGUUUUACCCAAAGUGAACACUCUUUUUGCUGAGUGUUAAUGAUGAAAAAAAUAAAUGUGAAGGAAACAAUAAAGAGGAUAUUUCUGAUUUGUGCUCUCCUUAGAGCAGGCAAUAGGAAUGAUCUACAUAGUGCAGUAGAAGUGAUGAGGGUUUUUUGGGCUCACCCAAAUUCUUCAAACAAGUUCCUGAUAUCUAGUGCAAACAAUUAUGUAAAACCUCUUAAGCAACAACCAAAACAUUAAAACAAAUGGCCUUUUUUCCAACAGGGAAUAAUGAGACUCUCAGAAAGUUGAUACUGGGGAAUCACACAGUUUUUAAAAAACUGCUUUAUCUUGUUCUUUGGUGGCAGAAGGUAACAUUUGCCAAAUCCAUUAACUUAUGCAAUUUAGAACACUGCUAUUAUUGUGAGAUACACAAUUUAUUUACAUUUAUUUACAUUUUUUACCGUUCAGUAAUGUCAUUGAGACAUAAUUUAUUUUAGUUGUCUUGUAGCUGAGCUUCAAGGCUUUGCCUGGGUAUCAUCUUACCCAUUGUACAUAUCCAAAUAUCAGCCCCUUGCUCAAAACUCAGUUUUAUGUGCAUUGAAGAGACAUGAAUACUCAGAAUGAUGGACAGAUUUGUAAAAAAUAAAUUUGUUUUACCUUAAGUGAUACAGCUCAGUUCAGCCUUGGAAAAUCAUAGUGCAUAUUGAACAUGACUGCUGGAGGAAGGCUACAUGCUGUAUUCACAAAGGGAUUUGAACGCUGAAAGAUUCCUCUUUCAGGUACCUCACUUCCUUUUUUUUCCCCCUGUAAUGUGUUGCUAGUUAUCUCAUAGAUCCAGCACAUGAACUUUAGCAGUUGUGUCCCCAGGUUUCUCGGAAGACUCUGUAGUUGCUUCCCCUGCAGCCCCUAAGGCUUGAAUUUGUAGUCAGGCUCAGAUUUCUGUAAUACCAUGGGUGAGAUCUGCCUCCAGUUGCUUCUGGAGUUGUGCAUAAUCUUGUUGCACACAGGAAAAAGCUGUAGUUCUCUUUUCUCCCUGUGAGAGCUGUUCCUAUUCCUGAGCUCUCAUAUAUAGAAAAUAUAUUCUACUCCUUAAUAUGCCUGCACUUCAAUUUACAGGUGUUGGAAUUAAACACACGUACUCUGGUUUUGGUUACAGCAUCUUCUACUUCAAAGUCAGCAUAUAUGCAUGUACAUUAUUACUUCCUGUGAUUGCCACAGCUGUAUAAGUGUAUGGGCAGCAGCAAUUCAUUUUUUUCAUGCCAAGGCCAGCUCUGCAAGUUCUACUGGGCUAAUUAAUCCCAUUGUGGGAGGAGAAGGUCAUGUAAAAAUAACAGCUAAAAUGGGGUAAGAAGGUGGAUAUAACUAUGUCGUUAUAAAGAUGACACAUCCAAAUUAUGGUUUUCCUUACUUUAUAGGAAUAGCUAUCCCUGUAAAAAGCACCUUUAAACAAAUACAGCUAUAGACUUGACAUGUCAGAAGUUGAGACAGCAGGGAAAUGGCAUUGCUUUAGCUCUAUCACAAGCUCUAUCACAAUAAUUAAAAUAGGACCUAUUUUAUUUGGGACAAGCCCCAAAUAACAUAUGGCAAUAAAAAAUUACUUCAUUUGGCAAAUGGUUUUCCACAAAGAAACUCAUCCUUUCAUGUGAAAUAAACUUUUUAAACCCCCCCA